GUCCGAAUGGUGAAAUUGGUAAACACAACAAGCUUAAGUUUUGUAGACUUCGGUCUUGGAGGUUCAAGUCCUCCUUCGGAUA
rnacentral:tRNA from 1 species